GCCCAGCCCCACUCGUAUGUAGGCCGGCCCUACACUCGGCCUUCCAAAAAAGGCCGACGUGCCUCCACUCUUCUUCUCCACCGAACAGCCCACGAAGCCAAUUAGCCCACUAACCAGUGAAAACCCUAGCCAUUGAAUCGUUUCUCGGUCUCUCAGACUCUCUCCGACUCUCCCUGACUCCCUGCAAGCGGCACGGGCGCGGCGGCGCUGGGCGCUCGAUAGGGCGGCGGCCGCGGGGCAGGGCGGCGCGAGGCGGCGUGCGGCGGCAGGGGCACAGCUGCGCGAGGCGGCGGCGGCGGGGCUACGCGAGGCGGCGUGCGGUACGGCGGUGGGGCGCAGCGGCGCGAGGCGGCAGCGGCGGGGCUACGCGAGGCGGCGUGCGGUGCGGCGGCGCGAGGCGGUGGCGACGGCUUGCGGGUGUGCAGCGCAGCGGCGGGGUCACAGGGGUACGGCUGCGCGAGGCGGCGGCGGCAGGCAGGCGUGCGGGCCGUGCGGCGGCGAUGAACGGCGUGCGGCGUCGGCUUGCGGUUGUGCGGGAGUCAGGGAGUGGAAGGUCAGUAUUUUUUUGUUGUCUUUCUUCUUCCUUUCUCACUUCUCAAAUCUCAAACCUAGCUUUAGUACAUCACAUUACUCGGUUAGAUUUGGUUUGAAUUUGUAGACGAAGAGAAGUAGGACAAAAAAAUCAUUCUAUGCGUCCGAAGAAAAUCAUUCAAAAAGCAUGGUUCAAAAACAUGGCAAGUUUUAGCCUUUAAUUUAGGCCCUAGGCGUCCGAAGAUCCUGGUUCCGCCACUGGUUGGCGGCAAGCCGCCAUGCCAUCGUCAACGCAAUUCCGGCGCCAACCGCUGUUCCGCAGGACCACACGAGGUGCAGGCUGCAGCCGCUGCUUUCUUCUUGCUUCUGCUUGCCACCGUUCAGGCCAUUUCGUGGAGAAGAAAUUGUUGGAUGAAAUUGAUAUUAAUACUAUUAUCAAUGACUUCGCAUCUAGAAAUGGCAGAAGAAAGUUUUAAGGUAAUAUGUACAAUGUUUUCUACCUAAAUAUUAUUUCUAAAUUUUCUAUGAAAAUUACUCGUAUAUAUAAAGCAUACGUUUGUAUUGAUUAUUAUUAUAUAGUAUGUUAAGGGCUCUGCACCGGGACCCUGAAAAGUCAGGACCGGCCCUGCAUACUGUAGGUUGUUAGGCUAUUAAGUGUAAAUUGUCACGGAAACGUAUUUAUUGCGGUUGUGGAAUCAUGCACAAGUGUGCUAAUCAAAAUUUAAAAUGUUGGAAUAAUACAUCCAUAUUUAUGCUUCAA